rnacentral:rRNA from 1 species
UUCGAGUGGCGGACGGGUGAGUAACGCGUGGGUAACCUGCCUUACACAGGGAGAUAACACCUGGAAACAGGUGCUAAUACCGCAUAAGCGCACAGGGCCGCAUGGCCCGGUGUGAAAAACUCCGGUGGUGUAAGAUGGACCCGCGUCUGAUUAGCUGGUUGGCGGGGUAACGGCCCACCAAGGCGACGAUCAGUAGCCGACCUGAGAGGGUGGACGGCCACAUUGGGACUGAGACACGGCCCAAACUCCUACGGAAGGCAGCAG